CCGCCCAAACUCACUCACUCACACAUAUUACACGUUUGUUUCAGCCAAACACUUUUAACUCACACACACAACACCUAAAACACACACUAAACUCACGCAUAACACCAUUGUUGAGGAGUUGGAGCUUUUGACCUCCGAUUUGAGCACCGAGACGAGCGCCGAUCAUCUUUUCGAUCACGUAUCUAAGUAGGUUGAGCUGAUGUGAUGAUGGUGCUGCAAUGAGCGGAGUCUCCAGGGUUGUUAAUAAAUAGUUAACCUGUCUAGAAUAUGUCUUCAUACAUAUGUCUAGCUACUUUCCGCUGCAAGAUGUUGUUGAUGUUAUAGUAUGUUAUGUCAUACUUUGAGUCUUAAGAGAAUGGUUGCAUAUGAUGUAUAACUUGAUUAAUGAUAUUAAUUAACUUUUAUGCAGUCUUUCAUAGACUGUUUUCAAUUGAGUAUUAAUGAAUAAAAAUGACG